GACACAUUGUUGCACGAUGACGAAGUGAACGAAAGGCAUGGGUUCCCCGUUGUCCUGCAUAGAAAGCAUAUCAGUAACGCUAGAACACAACACUAGAGUACUGUAGCAAAUGGCGGUGAGACAGAAACAAUAUACCUUACUUCCAGACUCGUUCUGUUAAGUGACUGUGGCAAGGGGCCUACUAAGUUAUUGUUUCCCAGAUUCCUGAGCAGAAGUCAUAUAAAGAUCCUUCUCUGUAUGAGGUCCCUGCAAGGAAUAGAGACUGGCUUUAGAAUUACAGAAAACAAUUCCAGAAAAUCUCAGUAUAAGAUAACUUACAGAACUUCAAGGUUAAUCAGAUUUUCCAGCUCGGAUCCGAAAGAUUUUAUCUUAUUGAAGCUCAAGUUCCUGGAUAUAUACCAUCAGAAGCUUUUUUAAUACUACAAGAAACCUAAAACAUAUAAUUCUUCAAUGUUAUAUGGAUGAGUAUUACAGCUGCUGGAGAUGCUGAAGGCUUCCUACAUUCUGUAUCGCUCCAGUAAGUGAUGUAUUAUGCAAAUCCCUGGAGGAGAACACUCAGUGAUAACACACAUGCAUACAUGAGACGCUAGAAAUGCUGAAAACUUACAGUGUCUUGAGGUCAAGCAAGUCUCCAAAAGUUGGACUAAUGGAUCUCAGGUUGAUUUGUGAAAGAAACCUGGACAACAGCAAGAAGAAAAAUCUGAGCUGAGGUCCAGAAAUGUCAAAAGCAAGGAUUGUCUUACAAUGAUGUAACACGGCUUCCUUCACACUCAAUGUGGUUCCAAGGAAGAGGAGUGCAUGGGUCGUCUUGCCAUCCAAGGUAGCAAUCAAACAGAGGAUACCUGUGGUAGAAGAAGCUUCUGGAGGGAUUUGGAGGAUUUGAUACACCUCAAGAGCGUUCACCUGAGGAUUAAACUUGAAUUUUUCGAAGGUGAUGUUUAACUCACUGAUUCUCUUUUGCGUAAAGUACAAAGCACUGGCUUCUGAG